rnacentral:rRNA from 1 species
AUUGAACGCUGGCGGCAGGCCUAACACAUGCAAGUCGAACGAGUGGCGGACGGGUGAGUAAUGUCUGGGAAACUGCCCGAUGGAGGGGGAUAACUACUGGAAACGGUAGCUAAUACCGCAUACCAUCGGAUGUGCCCAGAUGGGAUUAGCUAGUAGGUGGGGUAACGGCUCACCUGGGCGACGAUCCCUAGCUGGUCUGAGAGGAUGACCGGCCACGCUGGAACUGAGACACGGGCCAGACUCCUACGGGGGGCAGCAGGGGGGAGUAUUGCACAAUGGGCGCAAGCCUGUUGCAGCCAGGCCGCGUGUAUGAAGAGGGCCUUCGGGUUGUAAAGUACUUUCAGCGAGGAGGCGUUACUCGCAGAGGAAGCACCGGCUAACUCGGUGCCAGCGGCGGCGUAAUUA